rnacentral:rRNA from 1 species
GACGAACGCUGGCGGCGUGCCUAAUACAUGCAAGUUGAGCGCUGAAGGUUGGUACUUGUACCGACUGGAUGAGCAGCGAAUGGGUGAGUAACGCGUGGGGAAUCUGCCUUUGAGCGGGGGACAACAUUUGGAAACGAAUGCUAAUACCGCAUAACAACUUUAAACACAAGUUUUAAGUUUGAAAGAUGCAAUUGCAUCACUCAAAGAUGAUCCCGCGUUGUAUUAGCUAGUUGGUGAGGUAAAGGCUCACCAAGGCGAUGAUACAUAGCCGAGCGGGGGGGGUGAUCGGCCGCAUUGGGACUGGGACGCGGCCCAAACUCCUACGGGAGGCAACAGUAGGGAAUCUUCGGCAAUGGACGAAAGUCUGACCGAGCAACGCCGCGUGAGUGAAGAAGGUUUUCGAAUCGUAAAACUCUGUUGGUAGAGAAGAACGUUGGUGAGAGUGGAAAGCUCAUCAAGUGACGGUAACUACCCAGAAAGGGACGGCUAACUACGUGCCAGCCGCCGCAGUAA